AGCAGUCGCCACGGGAAUACGGAGGGUGCAAGCGUUAUCCGGAUUUAUUGGGUUUAAAGGGUCCGUAGGCGGAUCUGUAAGUCAGUGGUGAAAUCUCACAGCUUAACUGUGAAACUGCCAUUGAUACUGCAGGUCUUGAGUAAAUUUGAAGUGGCUGGAAUAAGUAGUGUAGCGGUGAAAUGCAUAGAUAUUACUUAGAACACCAAUUGCGAAGGCAGGUCACUAAGAUUUAACUGACGCUGAUGGACGAAAGCGUGGGGAGCGAACAGGAUUAGAUACCCGCGUAGUCCCUGUCUCUUAUAA
rnacentral:rRNA from 1 species